CAGGGAGACAACAAAAUGUUUAAUAUUAAUUUUGUCACCUUAGGUCGAUCGGUAUCUCACAUUCUUAAUUUAUUAAGAAUUUUAUUUCCUAAGUUUUUUCUAGGUCACACCCAAUUACUUUUCCUGGGCCAUUAGCUCAGGUGGUUAGAGCGCACCCCUGAUAAGGGUGAGGUCCCUGGUUCAAGUCCAGGAUGGCCCAUAUCUCUAUGUUGGGGGUAUAGCUCAGUUGGUAGAGCGCCUGCUUUGCAAGCAGGAUGUCAGCGGUUCGAGUCCGCUUACCUCCACUGAUCACCACCUCUUCCAUAAUUUGUAGAAGGGAAAUGUAUUGAGUUGUGAUCAAAUUCUGAACGAAUCUAGCUUCCUAAUUAACUCAAUUAAGAUGCUGGACUCAUUGAAUUAUUUUCAUUGUUUUCAGAGAACCUUGACAACUGCAUAGAUUAUUUUAAAGACAAUAAGCAUCUUUAAUGAUGCAGAUUUAUUAUUUGUGCGAAUGCAUUAAAUAACAAUUCUAUUAAGCUGAUGCUUCAAUUUUUGAAGUUAUU
rnacentral:tRNA from 1 species